UACGUAGGGGCGAGCGUUGUCCGGAAUCAUUGGGCGUAAAGCGCGUGUAGGCGGCCCGGUAAGUCUGGUGUGAAACCUUGGGGCUCAACCCCAAGCCUGCACUGGAUACUGCCUGGCUUGAGUCCGGGAGGGGAGAGCGGAAUUCCUAGUGUAGCGGUGAAAUGCGCAGAUAUUAGGAAGAACACCGGUGGCGAAGGCGGCUCUCUGGAACGGUACUGACGCUGAGACGCGAAAGCGUGGGGAGCGAACAGGAUUAGAUACCCUGGUAGUCCCU
rnacentral:rRNA from 1 species